CGCCAAUUAAAGUGGUACGUGAGCUGGGUUCAGACCGUCGUGAGACAGGUCGGUCCCUAUCUACUGUGGGCGCACGAAACUUGAGAGGGUUCUUCUUUAGUACGAGAGGAUUUAGAAGGACGUCCCUCUGGUGUUCCUGUUGUCGCGCUAGCGGCACGGCAGGAUAGCUAAGGACGGAACGGAUAAACGCUGAAGGCAUCUAAGCGUGAAGCCCGCCUCAAGAUUAGGUUUCGUAGGUCAAUGACCGAAAGUCCCCUGGGAGACGACCAGGUUGAUAGGCCGGAUGUGUAAG
rnacentral:rRNA from 13 species